rnacentral:lncRNA from 1 species
GUAAUGUGACUGUGUGUGAUGAAGUGUCUUUCCAAGUCCUGGACAGGGUUGAGGAAACCCUCUUCAUCGUUUUAAAACGCGCUUGAACUGAGAGGUCUGCUUGAGCCCGUCGCCCUGCAGCUCCAGGGAAAAGACAUGUUGGAAUCUUGUGCUUUGAUAAUUUAUGGUUUCAAAUGUGUAUCAAACUAAGAAAAUUUCACUCCUUAGUCCAAGUGCCUUUCUAACAGAAGUCAUUCCUAAAUAAGCUUCCUGGUCCUUCAGACAUAGGUUGGUGGUUGGCAGGUUUUGUGAGGAGUAAGCGGUGUGGCCCCAAAGGCCCUGGGCAUAGACCCCCAGGCACGGAGACCCCCCGGGGCCCCUCAGCACUCCCCUCCUCCCUUGCAGACUCUAGGGAGACAGCACACGCCUGGGAACACCGCCUCCUCCUGCCUCGCUGGAUCCUCCUUCAGUGAGGCCAAUGCAGUUCUCAGUCAACCACAAGCGCUCCUCAGGUGAGCUGCGGGGCCCACCUUGGGUGGGAGCGGAUCCUCUGGCCCCGGGGUCCACUCCCAGAAACGCUGUCUCUGCCGCAGCAUAACGGGCCCGGCUGUGUGUGAGUGCCCCCGCCGAUCCUCAGGUCUGCCGAGCAUCGCCGCACGGUGGCCGCCACCCCCCGGUGGGGCCAGGUCUCCACUGCGCCCCAGUCUUCUCAUGAGACCCUGAUGAGUCACCCACUGCGCCUAAUCUAACGGGGCUCUGGUGAGAACCAGCGAAAACUCCGGGAAGGGACGCGUGCGCCAUGACGGCUGCUGCUGUGCAUCCGGAAGACCACAGCCCUGCCACAGACCAGAGGACACCCAGGGGCUCCAGGGACCAGAUGCGGGGUAGGGGCCUGUGCUGGAUCCUGACCCAGAAGAAGGACGUUCACAGAAAAACCGGUGAGGUCCAGAUGAAACCUGGAGCUUAGUCAGCAGUAAUGUGCCAACGGUAACUUCCUUGUUGUAACAAAAUGUACCAUAGUUACGUAAGAUGGAAAUGUGGGAGAAACUGGGCAAGGGGUAUAUGGGACUGCCUAUACUUGUAACUUUUUCUGUAAAUCAUACAGUAUUCCAAGAGAAAAAGUGGUUUGAAAAUGUAUGUCUUAACUUCAGACAACAAUGAAUUCAGAAUAAAGAGAAUUACACAAGAAAAGCA